rnacentral:rRNA from 1 species
GUCUAUGGCCAUGCCACCCUGAACAAGCCCAUCUCUUCUGAUCUCGAAAGCUAAGCAGGGUUGGGCCUGAUUAGUAUUUGAAUGAAAGACCACCUAGGAAGACCAAAUGUUGUAUGCG